rnacentral:piRNA from 1 species
UGAGGCAUGCGACUAUGGCACAGGGU